CCACUCCUGUGCUCUCCUAUUGGCCGAUGUGUGUUGUUGAUGUCAUUUAGGUUUAAGGUGUACACCCUGGAGGACAUGUCAGAUGAGAACACCAAGGACUCUCUCAACAGUAUUGAGGACAUCCACUCCCUGGUGUUGAAAUAAUCUGAUCCAGAGGUACAUUGGCCAUGUCCAACUCUCAGAUGAAAUGCUGCCGAUCCUUCCAGACCUUCCAUACCUACAGUAGGUACCGUCAGGAGGUUCUGUGUCAGUGUUUUGUCCAGUGCAGGAAGAAGGGAUUGGUCAACAGACGAAGAUCAGUCAACUGUGUGGCCCCAAUAAGACCGUGCCCUACCCAUCCUGCCCAUGUCUUACCAACUGUCUCAGAGUUACUACAGGUGUUUUACAUGGCGUCUGCCCACGGGUCUGUGUACAGAGGUGUUUGAUUCAUGCAGGCCUUGAGUGAGAAUGGGACUUGGAGACAACCACCCUUCCACGGUCCUCAUACACGAAGGAAAGGAGAAGGAGAAGAGGGAGAGCAUGGAGAAGAGGGAGAGCAUGGAGAGAGGGGAGUUGGCAUGGAGAGAGGGGAGUUGGGCAUGG